rnacentral:lncRNA from 1 species
UUUUUUUGAACCCGCUUGAUAAAAAUCUUUCAACAAUACUUUCUUUUCAUCUUCUUAUCUAUCUGCUAGAUUUCAGGUAUAGUUCUCUCAAUAUUUGCUCACAUAUUCUUUGUUUUUACUUUGUCUUCUUUCUUUUUUUGCUUCUUUUAUAUCUGUAUAGCUGUUUCCAAUUUCAUGGAUAAAUUUCUUUGGAUUUUGUGUUUUCCAACCAGACGAUGCGGAAUCACCAUUUUAAGGGUUAUUCUCCGUCCAAUUUCAUUGAUGUUGCCUUCUUCUCGCUGAUUUGGCUAUAUUUCUUCUUCUUCUUCUUCUUCUUCUCCUUCUUCUUAAGGUAUUGACAUUUUUUAUUCUGCUAACUUAAAAACUAAAAGGAUAUUAAAUUUUACUCCUAAUGCAUGUUGUUCUUCCUUUUCUUUACUUUGUUUUGUGUAUAUUAUACUUCCAUGAAUUAUGAGUCGCGAGUAUGUUUUCAGGUUCUUCAUAACUGUCUCUUCACACACACCUCACUCUACAUAGCCGAGGAAAAUAAAGUAAGAAUUCAUGAUAACCCAAUUUUGAUAAAGCACUAAAAUUGGUGUAUGAGUUGAGAUUAACAAAAUUGGAUCAAUUAAGUC